rnacentral:rRNA from 1 species
CCUACGGGAGGCAGCAGUAGGGAAUAUUGCUCAAUGGGGGAAACCCUGAAGCAGCAACGCCGCGUGGAGGAUGAAGGUUUUCGGAUUGUAAACUCCUUUUGUUAGAGAAGAUAAUGACGGUAUCUAACGAAUAAGCACCGGCUAACUCCGUGCCAGCAGCCGCGGUAAUACGGAGGGUGCAAGCGUUACUCGGAAUCACUGGGCGUAAAGAGCGCGUAGGCGGGAUAGCAAGUCAGAUGUGAAAACCUAUGGCUUAACCAUAGAACUGCAUUUGAAACUGUUAUUCUAGAGUAUGGGAGAGGUAGGUGGAAUUCUUGGUGUAGGGGUAAAAUGCGUAGAGAUCAAGAGGAAUACUCAUGGCGAAGGCGACCUGCUAGAACAUAACUGACGCUGAUGCGCGAAAGCGUGGGGAGCAAACAGGAUUAGAUACCCCGGUAGUC